rnacentral:rRNA from 1 species
CAGUCGCCACGGUAAAACGAAGGGGGCUAGCGUUGUUCGGAUUAACUGGGCGUAAAGGGCGCGUAGGCGGAUCUUUAAGUCAGUGGUGAAAUCCCGAGGCUCAACCUCGGAACUGCCUUUGAUACUGGAGAUCUUGAGUCCGGGAGAGGUGAGUGGAACUGCGAGUGUAGAGGUGAAAUUCGUAGAUAUUCGCAAGAACACCAGUGGCGAAGGCGGCUCACUGGCCCGGUACUGACGCUGAGGCGCGAAAGCGUGGGGAGCAAACAGGAUUAGAUACCCCUGUAGUCCCUGUCUCUUAUAC